rnacentral:rRNA from 1 species
GAUGAACGCUGGCGGCGUGCUUAACACAUGCAAGUCGAACGAAGCUGUUAAAAGGAAGUCUUCGGAUGGAAUUUUAACAGACUUAGUGGCGGACGGGUGAGUAACGCGUGGAUAACCUGCCUUAUACAGGGGGAUAACGGAGAGAAAUUUCCGCUAAGACCGCAUAAGACCACAGCACCGCAUGGUGCAGGGGUAAAAUAUUAAUAGGUAUAAGAUGGAUCCGCGUCCGAUUAGCUGGUUGGUGAGGUAGAGGCUCACCAAGGCGACGAUCGGUAGCCGGCCUGAGAGGGUGAACGGCCACAUUGGGACUGAGACACGGCCCAAACUCCUACGGGAGGCAGCAGUGGGGAAUAUUGGACAAUGGGGGAAACCCUGAUCCAGCGACGCCGCGUGAGUGAAGAAGUAUUUCGGUAUGUAAAGCUCUAUCAGCAGGGAAGAAAAG